rnacentral:rRNA from 1 species
AUUCGGUUCCCUCGCUCAUCGUGUGUCACCCAUGUACAUGGUAUACUGUACUAGCGUAUACACCUAGUGUAUGUGUCUAGUAAUCCCAUCCCAAUGGCAUGUAUCAUGGAUCCCUCUUCUUGCACAUGGCAUCAUCUCAUAUACAUGGCUAUACGAAUGACUGAUCACCCAUACAACAUAGCAGUGUUAUUAUACUAGCCACUAUGAUAUACACACAAUGCUCUGUGAUACCACAUACCCAAUAUGAAUGCUACCGCAUGUACAUCACCAGAUACCAUGGAUACAUGGUCACCUCUCACCUCAUAGAGGUUGGUUCCACCACUUGGUUAGAUCACCAGCUAAAUGCACUUCCCUAUUCCUCACACACAUGUGUAUGUACCAGUAUGGUACCACACACUGGACAUCCCAUGUACAGCAACCACCUGACAUGCUCAUAACACGUUACUCAGAGUAGAAGUACUGUUCCAUAACAUUCCAUCUGUAUAUGGUUAUACCUAGACGUAUCAUCUAGAUACCGUAGUCCUAUAGUAUCAGUAUUGAGGGUACUGCACUGUGUCCACAUUUUUUUUUUUUUUUUUUUUUUUUUUUCAGUAGUGUAGUACGGUAUGAGUAAGUAACUGAUGUCAAUCUCACCACGUAUCUUGUAUCCCAUACUCAGUACUUGGUAUGUAUAUCAUGAUAACAUGGUGUAGUACUGCCUAACGAUACCGUACAUAAUAUGGUCCGGGAUUGGUAAUGGGGCGCCUUCUUGGGACCACCUCUUUUUCGCCUCCUACAGUAUCUGAUAUGAGGAGUCAUGGCUGUGAGGAAGACAGCCUCUCAUGUAGUCGUUAGUUGGGUUCUGGACACCGUUAGGUAGUUCUCAUCCUAACUACUCAUACUACCAGGAUAUCUAUCCUAGUAGUACGCAAGGAUCCUAGGACUGUGUAUCAUGAUCUCAUGUACUCUGUAU